rnacentral:rRNA from 1 species
AGUGAACGUUGGCGGCGUGGAUUAGGCAUGCAAGUCGAGCGAGAACCGUAGCAAUACGGGGACAGCGGCGAAAGGGACAGUAAUGUGUAGGUACCUACCCCGGGGUCUGGGAUAGCUGCGGGAAACUGCAGGUAAUACCGGAUAAUGUCUUCGGACCAAAGGUGUGAUUCCACCUUGGGAGGGGCCUGCAUCCUAUUAGCUUGUUGGCGGGGUAACGGCCCACCAAGGCAACGAUGGGUAGCGGGUGUGAGAGCACGACCCGCGUCAUUGGGACUGAGAGACUGCCCAGACACCUACGGGUGGCUGGAGUCGAGGUUCUUCGGCAAUGGGCGAAAGCCUGACCGAGCGACGCCGCGUGCGGGAUGAAGGCCUUCGGGUUGUAAACCGCUGUCGUAGAGGAGGAAAUGCAGGGGGGUUCUCCCUUCUGUUUGACCUAUUCUAGGAGGAAGGACGGGCUAAGUUCGUGCCAGCCGCCGCCGUAA